rnacentral:lncRNA from 1 species
CCGUCGUCACACUUUUGGCUUUUCUUCGAGAUAGUGCCGAUUUAAUGGGUACCCAUUCUAUCCAUAUUUUUAAUUUUUAAAUAUAUUAUCGGUUCGUAUUUGAUAUAUUGGUAAUAUAUUUUUAUUCCACAAAUAGUUUUAAAAAAUUGUCAUGUAUCUCCUCUUUUAAAAUAAUUAGUUUUUAAUAUUUUAUUAUACUCUUAUAUAACACUUAUUAACCCCUUGACCCUACUUGUGGAGUCUAAAUAUAUUAUGUGACUAUUUUUAUUCUUUUCGUUUCCUUUUACUCAUAAUAUAUGUGUCACGAAAGGUAAUAGUUUCAGUGACGCUAUAACACCCCCCCACCCGACCCGAUCGCUAAGACUGAGCUACAGGAUGCUACAGUUGUUGCCGGAACAACUACAAAUAUUUAACAUUCGAUUUACAUCAUAAUACAAGUAUACAUAAACAUUCCAAAUCAUUAUCAUAAUAUAUAACCUUUCCCGGGUCUUAUACAAGCCUAUGCAUGCUCUAAAGAAAGCCCGAGAUCGAACAAGGAUCAAAUUGCAACAUUUUAAAAAUUGUAGGUCAUCCUCACGACGUAAGGGAGUUCCUCGUUGCAACGUGACAUACUGACUUGGCUCAUUGUGACGACAAGGUUCCUUAUCACACCGUGGUAUGAAAUCCAGAGCUCUUCGCAACAACCAUCGCCUGAUGUCGCGACAUGGACUAUGUUUUUGGCACAAAUUAGGCCAUUUGGUACCUAUUUCAGGACAACACUCACCACAAGGUUUGGUGCAUAAUUGCACAACCUAACUUGCACAAUAUGUCAUACCCCAAAUUUGACAGAUCUAAAAAGAAGGCGUGUAGAUAUUACAUGUUUUGGCGA